rnacentral:rRNA from 1 species
UCGUUGCUUACCGCGGAGGGACAUU